rnacentral:rRNA from 1 species
GACGAACGCUGGCGGCGUGCUUAACACAUGCAAGUCGAACGGAAAGGCCCUGCUUUUGUGGGGUGCUCGAGUGGCGAACGGGUGAGUAACACGUGAGUAACCUGCCCUUGACUUUGGGAUAACUUCAGGAAACUGGUGCUAAUACCGGAUAGGAGCUCCUGCUGCAUGGUGGGGGUUGGAAUGUUUCGGCGGUUGGGGAUGGACUCGCGGCUUAUCAGCUUGUUGGUGGGGUAGUGGCUUACCAAGGCUUUGACGGGUAGCCGGCCUGAGAGGGUGACCGGCGACAUUGGGACUGAGAUACGGCACAGACUAGAACGGGAGGCAGCAGUGGGGAAUAUUGCAAAAUGGGCGGAAGCCUGAGGCAGCAACGCAGCGUGCGGGAUGACGGGCUUCGGGUUGUAAACCGAUUUCGCAUGUGACGAAGCGUGAGUGACGGUAAUGGGUAAAGAAGCACCGGCUAACUACGUG